ACGGAAAGGCUCCAGCUUGCUGGAGUACUCGAGUGGCGAACGGGUGAGUAACACGUGGGUAAUCUGCCCUGCACUCUGGGAUAAGCCUGGGAAACUGGGUCUAAUACUGGAUAUGACCUUUCUCCUUAUGGGGUUUGGUGGAAAGUUUUUCGGUGUAGGAUGAGCCCGCGGCCUAUCAGCUUGUUGGUGGGGUGAUGGCCUACCAAGGCGACGACGGGUAGCCGGCCUGAGAGGGUGAUCGGCCACAUUGGGACUGAGAUACGGCCCAGACUCCUACGGGAGGCAGCAGAAGGG
rnacentral:rRNA from 1 species